AAACUCCGGUGGUUAUAGAUGGACAUGCGUUGUAUUAGCUAGUUGGUGAGGUAACGGCUCACCAAGGCAACGAUACAUAGGGGGACUGAGAGGUUAACCCCCCCACACUGGUACUGAGACACGGACCAGACUCCUACGGGAGGCAGCAGUGAGGAAUAUUGGUCAAUGGACGCAAGUCUGAACCAGCCAUGCCGCGUGCAGGAAGACGGCUCUAUGAGUUGUAAACUGCUUUUGUACGAGGGUAAACUCACCUACGUGUAGGUGACUGAAAGUAUCGUACGAAUAAGGAUCGGCUAACUCCGUGCCAGCAGCCGCGGUAAUACGGAGGAUUCAAGCGUUAUCCGGAUUUAUUGGGUUUAAAGGGUGCGUAGGCGGUCUGAUAAGUUAGAGGUGAAAUCCCGGGGCUUAACUCCGGAACUGCCUCUAAUACUGUUAGACUAGAGAGUAGUUGCGGUAGGCGGAAUGUAUGGUGUAGCGGUGAAAUGCUUAGAGAUCAUACAGAACACCGAUUGCGAAGGCAGCUUACCAAACUAUAUCU
rnacentral:rRNA from 1 species